rnacentral:ncRNA from 1 species
AUCCCUUGUGCGCGUUCAAGUUCCGGUGGGAGCCGGAUGAAAAGGGAACACGGAACGGCCCCAAGCCGAAGCCGUGGCUGCCCCCGCAACUGUGAGCGGUGAGCGACAUCGACAUGCCACUGGGCAAUGCCCCGGGAAGGCCGAUGAAGCGACGACCCGUGAGCCAGGAGACCUGCUUGAGCGAUCACCCUUUC